AGCACAAGGCUUUGAGGAUUUGGCUCCCUAGUAAAAUUGCCCAUAGCAAAGUAUAUGCCUAUUGGCUUUGGUGUGGUUCAUCCAGCUUUACAUCCAAGUAAUUGCAGAAUUGCGCCCCAAGUCUUAAAAUAAUGUCCCGGCUUUCACCAGCUGGAAAAUGAAUUGAAGAUCAAACCAGCAGUCUGGUGACCUCCUGCUGCUCAGACAACAGUAAUUCAGCAGCUAAACAUCAGCACUUUCAUCAGAUCCCUUUCCAGGAACGCACGAGACCGGACAGUACAAAGGAAUCUGUAACGCGGCAACUGAGCUUGGAGGAGUAGGACAGUCAGAGCCGAGACUGCCUUGGGAUUCAGCAGGGGCUCUGGGCUGUUUCUCUUUAUUUCUCAGCCAGCGCACGCGGCAGGCGGCGGCAGAGCGCAGG